ACUACCAUGCAGUCGAGCGGUAACAGAUCGUAGCUUGCUACACGCUGACGAGCGGCGGACGGGUGAGUAAUGCAUAGGAAUCUGCCCGAUAGUGGGGGAUAACCUGGGGAAACCCAGGCUAAUACCGCAUACGUCCUACGGGAGAAAGGGGGCUUCGGCUCCCGCUAUUGGAUGAGCCUAUGUCGGAUUAGCUAGUUGGUGAGGUAAUGGCUCACCAAGGCAACGAUCCGUAGCUGGUCUGAGAGGAUGAUCAGCCACAUCGGGACUGAGACACGGCCCGAACUCCUACGGGAGGCAGCAGUGGGGAAUAUUGGACAAUGGGGGCAACCCUGAUCCAGCCAUGCCGCGUGUGUGAAGAAGGCCCUCGGGUUGUAAAGCACUUUCAGCGAGGAAGAACGCCUAGUGGUUAAUACCCAUUAGGAAAGACAUCACUCGCAGAAGAAGCACCGGCUAACUCCGUGCCAGCAGCCGCGGUAAUACGGAGGGUGCAAGCGUUAAUCGGAAUUACUGGGCGUAAAGCGCGCGUAGGUGGCUUGAUAAGCCGGUUGUGAAAGCCCCGGGCUCAACCUGGGAACGGCAUCCGGAACUGUCAGGCUAGAGUGCAGGAGAGGAAGGUAGAAUUCCCGGUGUAGCGGUGAAAUGCGUAGAGAUCGGGAGGAAUACCAGUGGCGAAGGCGGCCUUCUGGACUGACACUGACACUGAGGUGCGAAAGCGUGGGUAGCAAACAGGAUUAGAUACCCUGGUAGUCCACGCCGUAAACGAUGUCGACCAGCCGUUGGGUGCCUAGAGCACUUUGUGGCGAAGUUAACGCGAUAAGUCGACCGCCUGGGGAGUACGGCCGCAAGGUUAAAACUCAAAUGAAUUGACGGGGGCCCGCACAAGCGGUGGAGCAUGUGGUUUAAUUCGAUGCAACGCGAAGAACCUUACCUACCCUUGACAUCUACAGAAGCCGGAAGAGAUUCUGGUGUGCCUUCGGGAACUGUAAGACAGG
rnacentral:rRNA from 1 species